GACAGAGGAUGCAAGCGUUAUCCGGAAUGAUUGGGCGUAAAGAGCGUGUAGGCGGCCAUACAGGUCAGCUGUGAAAACUCGAGGCUCAACCUCGAGACGUCGGUUGAAACCGUAUGGCUAGAGUCCGGAAGAGGAGAGUGGAAUUCCCGGUGUAGCGGUGAAAUGCGCAGAUAUCAGGAGGAACACCGGUGGCGAAGGCGGGUCUCUGGGCCGAUACUGACGCUGAGGAGCGAAAGCGUGGGGAGCGAACAGG
rnacentral:rRNA from 1 species